CCUCGGUCCUGGUCGAAUGUUACAAACAGAACAGCUGGAGAAUAUAGGUUACACAGAUUCAGAAAACAGUCAGCAACUAGGUUACACAGAUCCAGAAAACAGUCAGACACUAGGUUCACAAGAUCCAGAAAACAGUCAGCCAACUAGGCUACACAGAUCCGAAAACAGUCACAACUAGGUUACACAGAUCCGAAAACAGUCAGCCAACUAGGUUACACAGAUCCGAAAACAGUCAGCCAACUAGGUUACACAGAUCCGAAAACAGUCAGCCAACUAGGUUACGCAGAUCCGAAAACAGUCAGCAACUAGGUUACGCAGAUCGAAAACAGUCAGUCAACUAGGUUACGCAGAUCCGAAAACAGUCAGACCACUAGGUUACCAGAUCCAGAAACAGUAAGCCAUCUAGGUUACCAGCUCAGAAAACAGUCAGCCAACUAGGUUACGCAGAUCCGAAAACAGUCAGACAACUAGGUUACGCAGAUCCAGAAACAGUCAGCCAACUAGGUUACACAGAUCCGAAAACAGUCAGCCAACUAGGUUACACAGAUCCAGAAAACAGUCAGCCAACUAGGUUACACAGAUCCGAAAACAGUCAGCCAACUAGGUUACACAGAUCCAGAAAACAGUCAGCCAACUAGGUUACACAGAUCGAAAACAGUCAGCCAACUAGGUUACACAGAUCCAGAAAACAGUCAGCCAACUACAGUCAGCUCAAUAAGGGGCCAUCAGCACCCUCCUUGAAACAUGUGGAACGUGAUGCCUCUUCUGUGGCUUUGUAGGUUACACACCCCAAAAACAGUCGGUCAAAUAGAGUCAGACCAAAUGACCACAGUGGCCAUGUACCAAGCUGGCCAACCACUGGCUGCCUGCCUUAAUAAAGUCCCAGGCCUCUACUGUACAUACAACUGUCUGAGGAGGCAUAUUGGAUGCAAUAUCAUUGCUCACAUUGCUUUUGA